rnacentral:rRNA from 1 species
UAGCAGUCGAACGGCAGCGUGAUCUAGCUUGCUAGAUUGAUGGGCGAGUGGCGAACGGGUGAGUAAUACAUCGGAACGUGCCCUGUAGUGGGGGAUAACUAGUCGAAAGAUUAGCUAAUACCGCAUACGACCUGAGGGUGAAAGUGGGGGACCGCAAGGCCUCAUGCUAUAGGAGCGGCCGAUGUCUGAUUAGCUAGUUGGUGAGGUAAAGGCUCACCAAGGCGACGAUCAGUAGCUGGUCUGAGAGGACGAUCAGCCACACUGGGACUGAGACACGGCCCAGACUCCUACGGGAGGCAGCAGUGGGGAAUUUUGGACAAUGGGCGAAAGCCUGAUCCAGCAAUGCCGCGUGUGUGAAGAAGGCCUUCGGGUUGUAAAGCACUUUUGUCCGGAAAGAAAUGGCUCUGGUUAAUACCUGGGGUCGAUGACGGUACCGGAAGAAUAAGGACCGGCUAACUACGUGCCAGCAGCCGCGGUAAUACGUAGGGUCCAAGCGUUAAUCGGAAUUACUGGGCGUAAAGCGUGCGCAGGCGGUUGUGCAAGACCGAUGUGAAAUCCCCGAGCUUAACUUGGGAAUUGCAUUGGUGACUGCACGGCUAGAGUGUGUCAGAGGGGGGUAGAAUUCCACGUGUAGCAGUGAAAUGCGUAGAGAUGUGGAGGAAUACCGAUGGCGAAGGCAGCCCCCUGGGAUAACACUGACGCUCAUGCACGAAAGCGUGGGGAGCAAACAGGAUUAGAUACCCUGGUAGUCCACGCCCUAAACGAUGUCAACUAGUUGUUGGGGAUUCAUUUCCUUAGUAACGUAGCUAACGCGUGAAGUUGACCGCCUGGGGAGUACGGGUCGCAAGAUUAAAACUCAAAGGAAUUGGACGGGGACCCGCACAAGCGGUGGGAUGAUGUGGAUUAAUUCGAUGCAACGCGAAAAACCUUAACCUACCCUUGACAUGCCACUAACGAAGCAGAGAUGCAUUAAGUGCUCGAAAGAGAAAGUGGACACCCGUGCUGCAUGGGCUGUCGUCAGNUUCGUGUCGAGAGAUGCUAG